rnacentral:rRNA from 1 species
UACGUAGGGUGCAAGCGUUGUCCGGAAUUAUUGGGCGUAAAGAGCUCGUAGGCGGUUUGUUGCGUCGGCAGUGAAAUCCCGAGGCUCAACCUCGGGUCUGCAGUCGAUACGAGCAAACUAGAGUGUUGCAGGGGAGACUGGAAUUCCUGGUGUAGCGGUGAAAUGCGCAGAUAUCAGGAGGAACACCGGUGGCGAAGGCGGGUCUCUGGGCAACAACUGACGCUGAGGAGCGAAAGCGUGGGGAGCGAACAGG